GGGCCACAGCUCAGCAGUAGAGUAUCUGCUUUGUAAGCAGAAGGUCCUAGGUUCAGCCCCCAAGUAGGUUUG